rnacentral:rRNA from 1 species
GACGAACGCUGGCGGCGUGCUUAACACAUGCAAGUCGAACGGUAAGGCUCCAGCUUGCUGGGGUACACGAGUGGCGAACGGGUGAGUAACACGUGGGUGACCUGCCCUGCACUUCGGGAUAAGCCUGGGAAACUGGGUCUAAUACCGGAUAGGACCAUGGUGUGGAUACUGUGGUGGAAAGUUUUUUCGGUGUGGGAUGGGCCCGCGGCCUAUCAGCUUGUUGGUGGGGUAAUGGCCUACCAAGGCGGCGACGGGUAGCCGGCCUGAGAGGGUGGACGGCCUCAUUGGGACUGAGACACGGCCCAGACUCCUACGGGAGGCAGCAGUGGGGAAUAUUGCACAAUGGGCGGAAGCCUGAUGCAGCGACGCCGCGUGGGGGAUGACGGCCUUCGGGUUGUAAACUCCUUUCACCAUCGACGAAGGGUUUCUGACGGUAGAUGGAGAAGAAGCACCGGCUAACUACGUG